rnacentral:rRNA from 1 species
CGGAUUAUUGGGCGUAAGCGCGCGCAGGCGGUCCUUUAAGUCUGAUGUGAAAGCCCACGGCUCAACCGUGGAGGGUCAUUGGAAACUGGGGGACUUGAGUGCAGAAGAGGAAAGUGGAAUUCCACGUGUAGCGGUGAAAUGCGUAGAGAUGUGGAGGAACACCAGUGGCGAAGGCGACUUUCUGGUCUGUAACUGACGCUGAGGCGCGAAAGCGUGGGGAGCAAACAGGAUUAGAUACCCUGGUAGUCCACGCCGUAAACGAUGAGUGCUAAGUGUUAGGGGGUUUCCGCCCCUUAGUGCUGCAGCUAACGCAUUAAGCACUCCGCCUGGGGAGUACGGCCGCAAGGCUGAAACUCAAAU